rnacentral:lncRNA from 1 species
AUGAACAAGAAUUUUCUUCGUUCAGGUCAAUCGGAUCCACAUGAGGAUGACCCAUCGUUACUGAACCUGGACAGAUGGGAGCAUUCAUUUCCUGAGCAAUUUGUGCCCCAUUCACUUGCUUUGGGCUUUCGACAUCCAAUUUGUGGAGCAGAUGUUCGACACGGAGUCACAAGGUUUGUUUUCUUGGCCAAAUUCCAAGGACGCUGCUGGGAAUUUGUAUGUGAUGAUGGGCUUUUGGAGUCCCAUCACUGGCAAAACUGCCAAGAUACUUGGCCUCGUGAGAAGACUUUCUACUCGGGGAAUUUAAACACAAAGUCUGCUUGCCUCUGUUCAGAACAUAGACAUGGCUUUCUCUAUGCCUGCUUUCUCCUAUAUCCUUCUCAUACAGGCUUCUCCCAUGUUUAAAAUACACUUUCCUUUCUCCUUCAGAUUCCUCCUUAAAAACAUCUUGGUUUGUGAACUCAGGAGUUUUCUUUCUGUGGCAGUGUUUUGAUGGCAGCUUUGGUUUUCUUCACAGUAUCAUUUUCCUCCUGUGAAACCUUGGAUAACACUCGAAAUUUCUGCAUUCCCUGAGUUUGUUGCCCAUAAAAUACAGGUACAAAUAGAGAUUGUUGGUGUCAUUGUGGAAAUUAUUCAGGUUUAUGAACCAUACUGAAAAAUACUACUGGAAAGAUAAGCCCAAUGCUAUUAUCUCUCUACAACAGCGAAGUGAAUUAUGGACUCAGUGGAAAAGAGAUGCAAGUUAGUGCAGAGUCAGUCUCUUUCCGCUUCUAUCACAUGUAAUAGAAACAUCUAAGCAUCUCAUUAUUUUUUUUUUUGCUUUUAUUAGUAAAAUGAGUAACUUCUGAAAGGUUAGUGGAAACUUACUAUAGCCUUCCCUCAAUUCUUGUCAUUCGUGAGAAUUAAUGAAAAUAUUAUUAAAGAAACCUGUUCUUUCCUUUUUCUGUUACCGCUAAUUAGUCCUUACUCAAAUGUGCUGAUUUUCUGAUAACUGUAUAGGUUUCUAUAGAUAAUUGUAUCAGCUUCUAUAGCAGAGUGUAGGAGUGACCUGAGCUGUCGAUAGAAUAUCCAUAUUUUGCCAGCUGUUUUAUAGUCAAAAGAUGUUGAAUCUGAACUUGUUUUUUCAUGUUACAUCCAGAGCUUUGGAAGAGUUUUGGCAGGUUUCCUGCUGGGCACAGCUCCCAUUCCCAGAGUUCUCUCCAAAGCAUUAAGAAUGGAAAUAAGCAGUGAAGAAUUUUCCAGUUUAGCUCAGGCUCUGUGUACGUACGUUAAAAGAAACAGAAGCAUAACCACAAGUACCAGCAUAAGCCCUUGAUGGAGACAGGCUGCAACAGAAAGAGCUUAAUCUGGUGAAAACUGUCACAAACUGGUCCAUGUUGGCUUUACAUGACUGCACCCUUUGUUUGUCCUGACAUGGAGACGUAGGGACCGAGACAGGUAUGUCACCAAGAAGCUGCUUAAUGGAAAGAAGCCUGGUUUAGGCUGCCUAAAAUCAGAGGCAGGCUCAGUAAUCCCCGAGUGAUGUUUUACUCUGGAGUGGAACUGCUUAUAGGAAACCACCAAAGCCACUAUGACAGAGAGAAACACUCCAGUUUUCCUCUUCUCUCCAGGGUGAUUCCUUGGCUUAUACUGUGGAAACUGCUUUAGUGAGUGACUGAAAUAAGAUAAAUGGUAUAUAGUGUCCGUUUUAUGGGUGCUUUUUUUCUGACAAAUGCUGAAGCGGUGCUUCACAACAUCUAUUAUUUGGAAAAUAAAUAAAUCACCAGGAAGCUGAAGAUAAUACUA